CCUACGGGUGGCUGCAGUGAGGAAUAUUGGUCAAUGGACGAGAGUCUGAACCAGCCAAGUAGCGUGAAGGAUGACUGCCCUAUGGGUGGUAAACUUCUUUUAUAUGGGAAUAAAAUGUUCCACGUGUGGGAUUUUGUAUGUACCAUAAUAAUAAGGAUCGGCUAACUCCGUGCCAGCAGCCGCGGUAAGACGGAGGAUCCGAGCGUUAUCCGGAUUUAUUGGGUUUAAAGGGAGCGCAGGUGGAUCGUUAAGUCAGUUGUGAUAGUGUGCGGCUCAACCGUAAAAUUGCAGUUGAAACUGUCAGUCUUGAGUACAGAAGAGGUGAGCGGAAUUCGUGGUGUAGCGGUGAAAUGCGUAGAUAUCACGAAGAACUCCGAUUGCGAAGGCAGCUCACUGGACUGCAACUGACACUGAGGCUCGAAAGUGUGGGUAUCAAACAGGAUUAGAUACCCUGGUAGUC
rnacentral:rRNA from 1 species